CGCUUCGCCGUUGAAGUCGGAAAUUAAUAUUAAGAUCUGACCAAAUUUACUGACAAGUAACUAAAUCUUGUAUAGGUUCUUUAAAGUAUCUCUCCCAAUGAUCCGUCUGCUUUAUUAAGUUUCAACGUCUUCGUUAGAGUUUAUGGUGUUUUUGUUUUCUUUCAAUGGGCGAUCAAGUACCUUUCGAAAGUAAGAUGGUAGAAACCUCUCACUGGUCAGAACGUAAAUUAAAGGUGCGAUAUAUACCUGAAAUUAUUGCAAACGAAUCCCAUUUGCAACUAGAUUUAAGUAAAAAUGAAAAAGCUACUAAAAUCGAUAGAGAAACUCGAUUGGUUAAGGCCUCCCUUGUUGGGAGCUUUGAAGUCAUGUGUAAUCUUUUGGAAUCCGGUGUUUCUGUUGAUGCUGAAGAAUUGAACAGGGCAUUAUUUUAUACAUCAAGGAAUUACAUCACCCCCCUGCAAAUUGCUGCUUGUUUAGGACAUGUUGAUUGUGUUAAUAUAUUGAUUCAAUAUGGGGCCAAACUUAACGCCACAGAUAAAUAUGACGUAACUGCUCUACAUUUGGCAGCUCAAGAAGGGCACUUUCUGUGUUUAAAAGCCCUCUUAGAAGCGAAAGCUGAUUGUAAUGCGGCCACCAAACAUUCAAAAGACUUGCAGAAACCUUCUGCUGUCCCUCCUUUCUUUAAAGGGACCACAGCAUUGCAUUUGGCCGCUGCUAACAAUCAUGUUGAUUGUACAGUUGAGUUGAUUAAAUUUGGUGCUGAUUACAACAGUAUCGAUGAGAAGGGUAGAACCCCACUCUAUAUCGCUGCUAAUUUUGGAUAUAGCGAAAACGUGCUAGCACAGAUUCGCUAUGCUAUCGGCUAUGAUAUUUUAUCCCUGCCAGGAUUUUCGACCAACAAUACACCCUUGCACUUUGCUGUCCGUAAUAGCAUGGUUGAAUGUGUUAAAGAACUGCUUCAACUAGGAUCUGAUGUCUCCCAUUUGAAUAAAGACGGAUUUACACCAUUGCAUUUGGCUGUAACAUCUGGUUCUCUUAAGCCGGAAAUAUCAUUUGAAGUGCUUAAGUUAAUCGUCAUUUAUGGAUAUAAUUGUGAUGUUAAUCUAAAAGACGGGCGAGGUUUAACACCUCUUCAUUAUGCUGCAUUUGGUGGAGAAGCAUGUAUGAAACGUCCAGAUAUGGCAGCAUUUUUAAUUGCCCAUGGAGCCAAUAUUAAUAUAAAAAAUAAAGAAGAUAUUGAACUGUUUGAUUAUGAAUUAAAUUCAGACAGUGAUCCCGAAGUCUUUUUUGCAAUUGUGCAAACUAUGAACAUUCCUACUCCUCUAAGUAACCCAAGGAACUACUAUAGACCAAGGGACUAUUAUCACCUCCGCUUAAACAGGCCACGUGGCUAUAAUGGUGAUGAUUUCCAGUUGAUACUUGAUCAAAUAGAUCAAGAAAUAGAAGUUGAACUAUUAGCAUUACCAAUGCGCCCAUCUAGGCGAAUACCUGUGUAUCCAAAUGUAGAAAUCAAGAGGAAUUGGUAUUCUCAAAUAGUUACUAAUCCUAGAACACUCAUGCACUCCUGUCGGUAUGUUAUCCGACGAGCAAUGGAACCCAAUAAACUAAGAAGAAUCAGGGAGCUUUCGCUCCCUGAGUGUUUAUUGUCCUAUUUGCUCUUCGGUCAUGAAACAGCUCGACGUUAAGGGAAGAUCUGCAGAGCUACUCUUUGUUUGCUUAUGUUAACAGAAGUUUCAACCUCUGGUUCCUUGACUGUUCCUUUACCUAUGAGAGGAAUUAAAACAUUGGGAAGACGAGAGCAGCAAAAUCAAAUGCUUUCACAUAUUUGUUGAAGGUAAAAAGGUGUUUUUUCUUAAUGGACAUUUUUCUCUUUUGGCACAUCUUAAUAAUUUGCAUUGUUUCAUUCCUUAUUCCUAAGCUUGAUAUUUGUUUUGUAGAAUGUGUUCAAUUUUUUUUUAAAACUUUAUUGCUUGCUAUAUGUUUAUGUUGAUUGUAUUUCUUAACUUUUUUAAAUAAUGUAUUAUUUUUGCCUUGCUGAUGCUUUUAUGUA